rnacentral:rRNA from 1 species
CCUACGGGGGGCUGCAGUGGGGGAUAUUGGACAAUGGGGGAAACCCUGAUCCAGCGACGCCGCGUGAGUGAAGAAGUAUUUCGGUAUGUAAAGCUCUAUCAGCAGGGAAGAAAGAAAUGACGGUACCUGAUUAAUAAGCCCCGGCUAACUACGUGCCAGCAGCCGCGUGAAUACGUAGGGGGCAAGCGUUAUCCGGAUUUACUGGGUGUAAAGGGAGCGUAGACGGUAAUGCAAGUCUGGAGUGAAAGGCGGGGGCCCAACCCCCGGACUGCUCUGGAAACUGUGUAACUGGAGUGCAGGAGAGGCAGGCGGAAUUCCUAGUGUAGCGGUGAAAUGCGUAGAUAGUAGGAGGAACACCAGUGGCGAAGGCGGCCUGCUGGACUUUAACUGACGUUGAGGCUCGAAAGCGUGGGGAGCAAACAGGAUUAGAUACCCGAGUAGUC